GUAAAGUAUGUCAUCUUUUUGGAAGAAAUGCAGGCCAGUUGCCAUUUGCUUUGUCGCGAGAGUUUCUUGCUGAACAAUGUGGGUUUGGUGACGUCUAAGGCUGUGAACAGUUUUUGUGGUUUCCAAGCAACGUUGACGCGGUUUUUCUAUGCACCAAAUAAUGGCGGAAACAAACAGGAGAUCGACCCUGCAAAAGAAACCUUUGUCUGCCAGGACUGAAAACUCUGUGUCUACCAGAUCUCUUAGUCGACCUACAUCAGCGCCAGUAAAGAAACCACCACAAGCAGAUUUGCUGGCCAAGGAAGAAGAAUACAAACGUCUAAAUGCAGAGCUGGAAGCGAGGACAGCUGAACUGGUUCGUCAAGCUGAAGAAGUCAUGAGGGAACAAGAGGAAGUACUGUCAAGACCAGUUUCUUCCCAUCUUGAUGUUGGCUUCGAAGAUGACGAUGAGGAUUUCAAAAAUCUGUUUCAUUCUGAUGUCCCAAGCAUAAAGUCUAUGAAACAACCCAGUGCAAAGGCAUUGAACAAGACCAACUCAAAGCCUACAGGUCAGAACAGACCACCAUCAGGAAACAAAAUCAAGAAAGUAUCAAAAACGGCAGAAAUACAUACUGCUGAUGAUGUAGCAGUCCUUGAGGACUUUGCUGAUUUCUCCCUGGCAAAGACCAUUAACAAAAUUGAGGGACAACUAGAGGAAGAUGCCAUAGCUGACGAUGCAGAGGAUGAUGUCAUACCCAGUGUUGGCAUUGAAAUGGGCUCGGAGGCUCAGAUUCGAUUUCUUAAAGCAAAGCUGCGAGUCAUGCAAGAAGAACUCAACAGGCUUGCUCACGAGAUUAACAAGAAGGAUGAUGAGAACAGCAGUUUAAGCAGCAAAGUCAAAGAGCUGGAGGAAGACCGGUCCAGGUUGCAGCGAACAGCAAAUAUUCAGCAAACCCAGAUUGACAAAUACAAAACUUUAGCAGAGGACAGCAACAGAAAAUGUGAUGGAUUACAGCAACAGCUCACUGCUUUGCAGAAGGAACUGGAAGGACUGAAGAGAGUACAAAAGCAGACAGUGACCAAUCACAGCACCACUGAGGUGCGUCUGAACCGAGCAGUAGAAGAGGCAGAAAGAUACAAAAUGGAACUGAACAAAAUGAAGCAAAGCAGCAAGGUAUUUCAGAUGAUUCUGCCAGUCUGGAGCAUCAGAAAAUAGAACAGCUAAAGGCAGAAAAUAAGAAGCUGGAGAAACAGAAAACAGAAUUGAUGACAGGAUUUAAGAAACAACUUAAACUCAUAGACAUUUUAAAAAGACAAAAGAUGCACAUUGAAGCUGCCAAGAUGCUCUCUUUUACUGAAGAGGAAUUUAUGAAAGCCCUGGAAUGGGGAAAAUCAUAGUGUACGACAUGACUACAACUCAUUAAACAGGAUCUGAUCAAAAAUAAAUAAACCUUGACUUUGAAGUGGUGUACACUAGAAUGCAUUUUGUCCUGAAAUAAACCACACAUGGCAACUUGUAUUUCAGAAAUGACACUGUGAUGUGAUUCCUGAAAAUUUCAGUUGCCGUUUAAAACUAGAAUGCAGCUUCUAAACUUUAUUUCAUAGAAGUAGAAUAUAUCAUCUGACAUUCAGUUACUAAUCGUUUGUGCUCUUUUUACUUUGUGCUUUGCAUUAUUAAAACAUUUUACAAACCUCACAA